rnacentral:rRNA from 2 species
UGACCCCGAGUCCGAUAGCAAACAAGUACCGUGAGGGAAAAUUGAAAAGAACUUUGAAGAGAGAGUUCAAGAGUACGUGAAACCGUCUAGCGGUAAAGAGAGGGGUUCUCGAAGUUUCUGAGGGGGACUCAACCUUGGUGGUGCUUGGCCUGGGCGUAUUUGAUCAGCAAUGACUUUGCGUUUAGUCCCGAGUACCUCCCGGAUGCACUUUCUCCUCAGUUUACGGCAGGAACCGUUAGGAGCGGACUGAAGGCUCAGGGUGAAGUUGUCGGUUAUGCUGGCAGCCCUUGGUGUCCUAGCUUCGCAUCUGACGGGUAUGUAAGUAAACUCGUAUAGCGAGCAAUUCUCUAUUGCGGUUUGCAUCUCUCUGCCGAGUAGGUCGGUGGCCCCUCUCACCCGUCUUGAAACACGGACCAAGGAGUGUAACAUGUAUGCGAGCCAUUGGGUUGACUAAACCUAGAGGCGCAGUGAAAGCAAAGAGUAGCUUGUCUGCUCGAGGGACGAUCCGCAAGGCGCAGUCCCGCAACUUCCAAUCGACCUCGCAUCGUUGGGAGUAUGUAGAGCAUAAAUGUUGCGACCCGAAAGAUGGUGAACUAUGCCUGGCCAGGUUGAAGACAGGGGAAACUCUGUUGGAGGACCGUAGCGAUUCUGACGUGCAAAUCGAUCGUCGGAGCUGGGUAUAGGGGCGAAAGACUAAUCGAACCAUCUAGUAGCUGGUUCCUUCCGAAGUUUCCCUCAGGAUAGCUGGCACUCAUCUACGAGUUUAAUCCGGUAAAGCGAAUGAUUAGAAGCAUUGGGGGCGAAACGCCCUCAACUUAUUCUCAAACUUUAAAUGGGUUAGAAGUUCGUCUUGCUUGAGUGAAGUCGAACACUGAAUCGGAGUGCCUAGUGGGCCAUUUUUGGUAAGCAGAACUGGCGCUGUGGGAUGAACCAAACGCGGGGUUAAAGUGCCAAAGUAGAAGCUCAUCAGAUCCCACGAAAGGUGUUGGUUGCUUAAGACAGCAGGACGGUGGCCAUGGAAGUCGGAAUCCGCUAAGGAAUGUGUAACAACUCACCUGCCGAAGCAACUAGCCCUGAAAAUGGAUGGCGCUAAAGCUUCUCACUUAUACCCCGCCGUUCAGAUAGAGCCGGGCUUUAAGCCCCUGACAUCUGAACGAGUAGGAAGGUCGCAGGGAUGGCGCCGAAGCCUCUGGGUGUGAACCUGGGUGGAGCCGUCCCUGGUGCAGAUCUUGGUGGUAGUAGCAAAUACUCCAGAGAGGCCCUGGAGGACCGAUGUGGAGAAGGGUUUCGUGUGAACAGCUGUUGAACACGAGUCAGUCGAUCCUAAGGCUUAGUGGAAGCACGAAAUGACCGUGUGGUGUUUUCUAGAGUGAAAACCACAGUCGUAGCCGAAAGGGAAUGAGGUCCUUAUUCCUCAACCUGGUAGCCGAACCGUUCAGGCCCUCGUACCUGACGUGGCAACACGAAAUGAGUCUGAGACGUCCGCCGGAGCUCUGGGAAGAGUUGUCUUUUCUGCAUAAGCCACCGAGGCCCUGGAAACCUCUCGCAGGGAGAAUGGGUUUUGGUCUAGGCGAAGAGCGCAGCAGUUCUCGCUGUGUCCACGAGUGCCCGGCGGAACCUUGAAAAUCAGACUGAGGGACACGGCGGAGUGGCACCAGCUCGUACCCAUAUCCGCAGCAGGUCUCCUAGGUGAAAAGCCUCUGGUCGAUAGAAUAAUGUAGGUAAGGGAAGUCGGCAAAUUGGAUCCGUAACUUCGGGAUAAGGAUUGGCUCUGAGGGGCGGGAUGUUUGGGCUCUGUGGUGGAAGCAGGUUGUCUAACGGCGGGUCUGGGCGUGCUCUCGGGCUAACUCGGCCCCGUUUCACAGGCUCCUGUGGAUACCCAUUGCUUCGCGGGUCCGGGAAACCGGUGUCCUGUUCAAGCAUCGAUCAACGCCUUGCUCAGAACUGGCACGGACUAGGGGAAUCCGACUGUCUAAUUAAAACAAAGCAUUGCGAUGGUCAGAGAGUGAUGUUGACGCAAUGUGAUUUCUGCCCAGUGCUUUGAAUGUCAAAGUGAAGAGGUUCACCCAAGCGCAGGUAAACGGCGGGAGUAACUAUGACUCUCUUAAGGUAGCCAAAUGCCUCGUCGUCUAAUUAGCGACGCGCAUGAAUGGAUUAACGAGAUUCCCACUGUCCCUAUCUACUAUCUAGCGAAACCGCAGCCAAGGGAACGGACUUGGGAAAGUCAGCGGGGAAAGAAGACCCUGUUGAGUUUGACUCUAGUCUCCUUUUGUGGCGGAGCAUUUCUGGCGUAGAAUAGGGAGGAGGCUUCGGCCGUCAGUGAAAUACUCCUACGGAGAUCGCUCCUCUGCUUACUCGGUUAGGCGAAGUUAGGCCUUUCGGGGCCUAUUUCUAGAAUCAAACGGGCGGGCUUUGUUCUCGCCUGUGAUUCGCUCCGAGGACAUUGCGAGGCGGGGAGUUUGACUGGGG